AUCCUGCAUGCUUUUCUGCCACAUUUGGAUUUUUUUCUGCUGAAAUGUCAUAUUGGCCAAAUAUAGGAGCAGCAGAAGCAGGCAGAGCCCUCUGCUCCUGUUGUCACCUACAUGGAGUCAAUCUGAGCAUAGUGGGUACUUAAUAAUUUGAUCUGAGACUAAUUCUCAAUUUUUGCAAGUUUGCUUAAUUGGGCCUGCAAUGGCACAUGCUUCCUAUGCACCUGCUAAUGGCUACCAGCCAUGGGCCAGGACGAUGGGGCCAACAUCCAACGCUACCCACAAUGACCCAAGCAAUUCCAGGCAGUUAGGGGACCUUCUUUACCUAAGUGUUGCCAUCGUAUGUGAUUUCAGUGGAGAAGUUUCCUUUUUUUUUUUUUUUUUUUUUUGAGACAGGGAUUAGCUCUGUCAUCCAGGCUUGAGUGCAAUGGUGUGAUCUCAGCUGACUGUAACCCUCUCCUCCCAGUGAUCCGCCCACCUCAGCCUCCCAAGCAGAUACAUGCGCACAGGGACAGGGAUCACAGUUGCACACCACCAUGCCUUGCUAAUUUUUGUAUUUUUUUGUAGAGACGUGGUCUCACCCUGUUGUCCAGGCUGGUCUCAAACUCCUGGGUCAAAGUGAUCUAUCUGCCUCGGCCUCCCAAAGUGCUGGGAUUACAGGUGUGAGCCACUGUGCCUGGCCCAGAAUUUUCAUUCUCCCACUGGAUGAAGCCAUUUUUUUUU
rnacentral:lncRNA from 10 species